ACCUGGCUGGCUCAGUCAGUAGAGGAUGAGACUCUUGAUCUUGGGGUUGUGGGUUCAAGCCACACGCUGGGUG
rnacentral:tRNA from 1 species